rnacentral:rRNA from 1 species
UACGAAGGGGGCUAGCGUUGCUCGGAAUCACUGGGCGUAAAGCGCACGUAGGCGGAUUGUUAAGUCAGGGGUGAAAUCCUGGGGCUCAACUCCAGAACUGCCUUUGAUACUGGCGAUCUCGAGUCCGGGAGAGGUGAGUGGAACUGCGAGUGUAGAGGUGAAAUUCGUAGAUAUUCGCAAGAACACCAGUGGCGAAGGCGGCUCACUGGCCCGGUACUGACGCUGAGGUGCGAAAGCGUGGGGAGCAACAGG